UUGUAGGGAACGUGAAAGGACGACCCUUCCGGGGAGGCCUAUACAGGUGUUGCAUGGCUGUCGUCAGCUCGUGUCGUGAGAUGUUCGGUUAAGUCCGCUAACGAGCGCAACCCUCGUCGUAUGUUAUAUGUGUCAUACGAGACUGCCGGUAAAAAGCCGGAGGAAGGUGAGGAUGAUGUCAAGUCAGCAUGACCUUUAUAUCCAGGGCUACACACACGCUACAAUGGUCUGUACAAUGGGUAGCCAAGCCGCGAGGCGGAGCCAAUCCUGAAAGCAGGCCUCAGUUCAGAUUGCAGUCUGCAACUCGACUGCAUGAAGCCGGAGUUGCUAGUAACCGCAGGUCAGCAAUACUGCGGUGAAUACGUUCCCGGGUCUU
rnacentral:rRNA from 1 species